GAUGGACGCUGGCGGCGUGCCUAAUACAUGCAAGUCGAGCGAACAGAUAAGGAGCUUGCUCCUUUGACGUUAGCGGCGGACGGGUGAGUAACACGUGGGUAACCUACCUAUAAGACUGGGAUAACUUCGGGAAACCGGAGCUAAUACCGGAUAACAUUUGGAACCGCAUGGUUCUAAAGUGAAAGAUGGUUUUGCUAUCACUUAUAGAUGGACCCGCGCCGUAUUAGCUAGUUGGUAAGGUAACGGCUUACCAAGGCGACUAUACGUAGCCGACCUGAGAGGGUGAUCGGCCACACUGGAACUGAGACACGGUCCAGACUCCUACGGGAGGCAGCAGUAGGGAAUCUUCCGCAAAGGGCGAAAGCCUGACGGAGCAACGCCGCGUGAGUGAUGAAGGGUUUCGGCUCGUAAAACUCUGUUAUUAGUGAAGAACAAACGUGUAAGUAACUGUGCACGUCUUGACGGUACCUAAUCAGAAAGCCACGGCUAACUACGUG
rnacentral:rRNA from 1 species